ACCCGCGCUGCCAGAUUUCGGACGUGUGCCUGGCCCAGUCUCCCUGUCAGAACGGCGGCACCUGCACCUACCACGGCGAGGGAAACUACACGUGCAGCUGCUCGCCGGCCUGGGUCGGUCGCGACUGCACCAGCCCGCAGUUCCCGUGCGCCGAGCAGCCGAACCCGUGCGGCGGCGACUGGCCGUGCCAGCGAGAUCCGGACUCAGCAGCCGGCCUCACCUGCUCCUGCCACACGCGGCCCGGCUACGUGGCUAAGUCAGACAAGGAGCCGCAGUGCGUCGUCAGCGACGUGUGCCAGGCCACGUCGCCCUGCAAGAACG